GCUCUUCCCUCUUAUGAGUUUGAAUAACUGUCUUAAAUUUAUUUGAGGACAACCAAUCCUUUCUUUUUUCAAUAAUACUUUAGAAGUGAAUUACUGAAACCAACGUUCAUCAUGUGUAUCCCAGCUGUAUUUUGUCCCAGUUGAGAUUCUGAAGCUCACAGGGAGUGUGUGUGAAGAUUUCCCACAAGGAGCAUUUCUGAGACCAUCUAUAGCAGUGAUUGAGGGGUCUAGAGGAAUAAAAGAGCCCUGCAAGUAUAAGAUGAAUUAUAAGAUACUCAAACCCACUUUCAUGAAAGGACCAUUCAUUAAUGUGUUGAACCAUGCAGAUCAAAGCAUGGAUGCCAUGGAUGACCUUCUCCAUUUUGAAAACUGAUCACAUUUUCUGGUACUGGGAGUUGCCUUUGUAUUGGCAAGGGAGUCGCAAGAGGUAAGAUGAUGUAGAAGACUAAAGUGUAAAUGCUGAUAAGCAUUUUCCAUUUCAUUCCACUUCAGCAGAAAGACGUCUGUGAAAUCUCCAGAUCAAAUCAAAAUUAUAAGAGGUUUCUGAAAUCAACACUAGGAGAUAUCUGCAGCCAUUACUGCCUAUCUGUGGUAUAAUCCAAUUUAGCAUGGACGAGUAGUAGAGAUAGUGGAGAAAAAAGUAAAAAUACAGUCAAAUAUAUUGCUAGAGUUCUUACAAUGUCUCUACA
ensembl:lncRNA